rnacentral:lncRNA from 1 species
UAAAACCUUACCAAUCAAAAUGCAUUUUUGGACCUUUUUCAUUUAAAUUCAAAGUUUGACCAAGAGUUGACUUUUUGACUCAAGCAUUUUUCAAACAUUUGGCCAAUUGGAACAGCUCAUAAAUAUCAUUUUAAGUGUGUUUGCAAAGCCAAAUUAUGCAGAACAUGUGAAUAUUGCUUGGUUGCUUGAAUUGUAAGAAAAGUACCAUUUAACCAUACUUU